CCCGUUCGGGGGUUGCGGACCAAAGAUGGCCUCUACUUGUAAGCUAUCGCUGAGGGAUGGGCCUGCGGGCCAUUAGCUUGUUGGUGAGGUAACGGCUCACCAAGGCUGUGAUGGCUAGCUGGUCUGAGAGGAUGACCAGCCACACUGGGACUGAGACACGGCCCAGACUCCUACGGGAGGCAGCAGUGGGGAAUAUUGCGCAAUGGGCGAAAGCCUGACGCAGCGACGCCGCGUGGGUGAUGAAGGCCUUCGGGUCGUAAAGCCCUGUCGCAGGGGAAGAAUAAGCAUCGGUAUAAUACGCCGGUGCCCUGACGGUACCCUGCAAGAAAGCACCGGCUAACUCCGUG
rnacentral:rRNA from 1 species